CGAGCACGCCACCCGUUCACAUACCAACCAACUGCCAUCAAAUACCUGGGGACCAUUCUCCCAGCGGACCUCACACAAACCUACAGCCUAAACUACACGCCCCUAUUAGAAACUGCCACACAAGACCUAGACAAAUGGAAAGAUUUAUCAAUCUCAUGGAUAGGCAGACUGACCUCCAUAAAAAUGAAUCUUCUCCCAAGAUUUUUAUACCUUUUCCAAAC